rnacentral:rRNA from 1 species
UACGUAGGGCGCAAGCGUUGUCCGGAAUUAUUGGGCGUAAAGAGCUCGUAGGCGGUUUGUCGCGUCUGCUGUGAAAACUCGAGGCUCAACCUCGGGCUUGCAGUGGGUACGGGCAGACUAGAGUGCGGUAGGGGAGACUGGAAUUCCUGGUGUAGCGGUGGAAUGCGCAGAUAUCAGGAGGAACACCGAUGGCGAAGGCGGGUCUCUGGGCCGCAACUGACGCUGAGGAGCGAAAGCAUGGGGAGCGAACAGG